GUGUCAGCCGCCGCGGUAAUACGUAGGGAGCAAGCGUUGUUCGGAAUUAUUGGGCGUAAAGAGCGCGUAGGCGGUUUGGUAAGUCUGGUGUGAAAUCCCGGAGCUUAACUCCGGAACUGCAUUGGAUACUGCCAGGCUUGAGUGUGGGAGAGGAGAGUGGAAUUCCCAGUGUAGAGGUGAAAUUCGUAGAUAUUGGGAGGAACACCCGUGGCGAAGGCGGCUCUCUGGACCACAACUGACGCUGAGGCGCGAAAGCUAGGGGAGCAAACGGGAUUAGAUACCCUCGUAGUCC
rnacentral:rRNA from 1 species